GAAUUUUAUAUAAAUUGUUAUUAAAUAUAUUAAUGAGUUAUAUUUUAUUGGGAGGAUAAUUAAAUUUAAUAAACUUUAAUAUAAAAAAACUUAGAUUAAUGGAAAUAAAAAAAUGAUUAAUUUGAAAUUAUUAGAGAGUAAAUUACCUUAGGGAUAACAGCAUUAUAUUUUUUUUUAGAUCAUAUAUAAAAAAAUGGUUAU
rnacentral:rRNA from 1 species